UUUAACGAUAAAAUUAUAUAAUACAUUAAUACAAUUCCCGCGCUCUAAAGGUUUGGGAACUGGAUGGGUUUAUCUGUUUCUUGCCUGUAUUUGAACUAUAUUGCACGGCAAACACUGGUGUGGAGGAGCAAUUGUAGGGAAGCAGUGGGUUCUCACGGCAGCGCAGUGUUUUGAUUACGUAUCAAAAGAAGAAGUGACGGUCCGCAUGGGCUCCGUGUUCCGUGACUUCGGAGGCCGUAUUCUCGCUGUAACAAACGUCGAGAGACAUCCAGAUUACAAGAUGGAUCAAUACUAUCCUGAACAUAAUCUUGCCAUGGUCA